GACCACUCUCCCUCUCUCAUUCACUAUCAUCUUUUUUGAAGACCUCUCAAAGUGUUCUCUCAAUAUUCAACCUCAAGAACACCAAGGAAAACUUGGAGGCUAAGUCUUGGUCUAGGAAGUAUUUUCCCUAAGUUGGUUAGGGUUUUUGAAAGGUUUUGGAGGAGCCAAAGCUAAUAGGAAGGUCCAAACCUUAAGCAAGAACACCAAAGAGUAUUGGCUAAGCGUGACUGGACUGAACGUUGGAGGGUGAAAACUUGCUGAGCGCUAAGGACUCCAAGUAAGAGCAAGGGCAAGGCAGAGCAGUGAGCGCUGGAGUCUUCCUUGCAAAUGUACAUGUGGACUGACCUUUUGGGAAGCCUUUUUAUUUUUGGAAAUGUUGUGUAAUUUUCAUAAACUAGGCUCACUCUAAUCUUUAUAAAACAUGUUUGUAACUAAAUGUUAAGUAUGGCCAUAUGACUUUUUAAAAAGUUUUUUUUUUCUAUGGG